GUGCUCGCUUCGACAGCACAUAUAUUAAAAUUGGAACGAUACAGAGAAGGUUAGCAUGGCACUGCGCAAGGAUGACACACAAAUUCAUGAAGCGUUCCAUAUUUUU
rnacentral:snRNA from 1 species